ACUCUCGGCAACGGAUAUCUCGGCUCUCGCAUCGAUGAAGAACGUAGAGAAAUGCGAUACCUGGUGUGAAUUGCAGAAUCCCGCAAACCAUCGAGUCUUUGAACGUAAGUUGCGCCCGAGGCCACUCGGCCGAGGGCACGCCUGCCUGGGCGUCACGCCAAAACACGCUCCCAACCCCCUCAUCGGGAAUCAGGAUGCGGCAUCUGGUCCCUCGUCUCGCAAGGGGCGGUGGACCGAAGAUCGGGCUGCCGGCGUACCGCGCCGGACACAGCGCAUGGUGGGCGUCCUCGCUUUAUCAACGCAGUGCAUCCGACGCGCAGCCGGCAUGAUGGCCUUAAAAUGACCCAGCAAACGAAGCACAUGUCGCUUCGACCGCGACCCCAGGUCAGGCGGGACUACCCGCUGAGUUUAAGCAUAUAAAUAAGCAAAGGAGAAGAAACUUACAAGGAUUCCCCUAGUAACGGCGAGCGAACCGGGAGCAGCCCAGCUUGAGAAUCGGGCGGCUGUGCCAUCCGAAUUGUAGUCUGGAGAGGCGUCCUCAGUGACGGACCAGGCCCAAGUCCCCUGGAAAGGGGCGCCUGGGAGGGUGAGAGCCCCGUCCGGCCCGGACCCUGUCACCCCAUGAGGCGCCGUCAACGAGUCGGGUUGUUUGGGAUUGCAGCCCAAAUCGGGCGGUAGACUCCGUCCAAGGCUAAAUACAGCGAGAGACCGAUAGCGAACAAGUAUCAUGAGGGAAAGAUGAAAAGGACUUUGAAAAGAGAGUCAAAGAGUGCUUGAAAUUGCCGGGAGGGAAGCGGAUGGGGGCCGGCGAUGCGCCCCGGCCAUAUGCGGAACGGCUCUUGCUGGUCCGCCGCUCGGCUCGGGGUGUGGACUGUUGUCGGCCGCGCCAGCGGCCAAAGCCCGGGGGCCCUAGGUGCCCCCAGUGGCCGUCGUCGGCACGGCCAGUACCCGCGCGCCGAAAGGCGUGUCCCUCGGGGCACUGCGCUGCAACGGCCUGCGGGCUCCCCAUCCGACCCGUCUUGAAACACGGACCGAGGAGUCUGACACGCGUGCGAGUCGAUGGGUUCUGAAACCUCGGAUGCGCAAGUAAGCUGACGAGCGGGAGGCCCUCACGGGCCGCACCGCUGGCUGACCCUGAUCUUCUGUGAAGGGUUCGAGUUGUAGCACGCCUGUCGGGACCCGAAAGAUGGUGAACUAUGCCUGAACGGGGCAAAGCCAGAGGAAACUCUAGUGGAGGCUCGAAGCGAUACUGACGUGCAAAUCGUUCGUCUGACUUGGGUAUAGGGGCGAAAGACUAAUCGAACCAUCUAGUAGCUGGUUCCCUCCGAAGUUUCCCUCAGGAUAGCUGGAGCCCAUUACGAGUUCUGUCAGGUAAAGCCAAUGAUUAGAGGCAUCGGGGACGCAACGUCCUCGACCUAUUCUCAAACUUUAAAUAGGUAGGAUGGCGCGGCUGCUUCGGUGAGCCGUGCCACGGAAUCGGGUGCUCCAUGUGGGCCAUUUUUGGUAAGCAGAACUGGCGAUGCGGGAUGAACCGGAAGCCGGGUUACGGUGCCCAGCUGCGCGCUAACCUAGAACCCACAAAGGGUGUUGGUCGAUUAAGACAGCAGGACGGUGGUCAUGGAUGUCGGAAUCCGCUAAGGAGUGUGUAACAACUCACCUGCCGAAUCAACUAGCCCCUAAAAUGGAUGGCGCUGAAGCGCGCGACCCACACCCAGCCAUCUGGGCGAGUGCCAUGCCCCGAUGAGUAGGAGGGCACGGCGGCCGCUGCAAAACCCGGGGCGCGAGCCCGGGCGGAGCGGCCGUCGGUGCAGAUCUUGGUGGUAGUAGCAAAUAUUCAAAUGAGAACUUUGAAGGCCGAAGAGGAGAAAGGUUCCAUGUGAACGUUACUUGCACAUGGGUAAGCCGCUCCUAAGGGACUGGGUAACCCCGGCAGAUAGCGCGAUCACGGGCAUCCGCCGAAAGGGAAUCAGGUUAAGAUUUCCCGAGCCGGGAUGUGGCGGUUGACGGCGACGUUAGGAAGUGCGGAGACGCCGGCGGGGGCCUCGGGAAGAGUUAUCUUUUCUGCUUAACGGCCUGCCAACCCUGGAAACG
rnacentral:rRNA from 1 species